rnacentral:rRNA from 1 species
GACAGAGGAGCCAAGCGUUGUCCGGACUGACUGGGCGUAAAGCGCACGCAGGCGGCGCUGUGCGUGGGUGUGAAAGCUCUUGGCUUAACUGAGAGAGGCCAUCCCAUACGGCAGCGCUCGAGCGGUGCAGAGGUCCGCGGAAUUGCCGGUGUAGUGGUGAAAUGCGUAGAGAUCGGCAGGAACACCCAGGGGGAAACCAGCGGACUGGGCAUCGGCUGACGCUCAGG